rnacentral:rRNA from 1 species
AGAGUUUGAUCCUGGCUCAGAUUGAACGCUGGCGGUAUGCUUAACACAUGCAAGUCGAACGGAAACGAUACUAGCUUGCUAGUAGGCGUCGAGUGGCGGACGGGUGAGUAACGCGUAGGAAUCUACCUAGUAGCGGGGGAUAGCCCGGAGAAAUCCGGAUUAAUACCGCAUAAUCUCUAUGGAGAAAAGGGGCCCUCUUCUUGAAAGGUUUCGCUAUUAGAUGAGCCUGCGUAAGAUUAGCUUGUUGGUGAGGUAAAAGCUCACCAAGGCGACGAUCUUUAGCUGGUCUGAGAGGAUGAUCAGCCACACUGGGACUGAGACACGGCCCAGACUCCUACGGGAGGCAGCAGUGGGGAAUAUUGGACAAUGGGCGCAAGCCUGAUCCAGCAAUACCGCGUGUGUGAAGAAGGCCUGAGGGUUGUAAAGCACUUUCAAUUGUGAAGAAAAGUUAAAGGUUAAUACCCUUUAGCCUUGACGUUAACUUUAGAAGAAGCACCGGCUAACUCCGUGCCAGCAGCCGCGGUAAUACGAAGGGUGCAAGCGUUAAUCGGAAUUACUGGGCGUAAAGCGUGCGUAGGUGGUUUGUUAAGUCAGAUGUGAAAGCCCCGGGCUCAACCUGGGAACUGCAUUUGAAACUGGCAAACUAGAGUAUAGGAGAGGAAAGUGGAAUUUCAGGUGUAGCGGUGAAAUG